CCUCUGUGGUGGAUAGUGGAGUGUUUCCCAUGUAGUAUUGGUGAGCUGGAUAUCCCUUCACAGGUAGCCUGGUAACAUAUAAUCCCAGGUCUUUCUCUGCCUCUGUGGUGGAUAGUGGAGUGUUUCCCAUGUGGUAUUGGUAUGUUGGAUAUCCCUUCACUGGUAGCCUGGUAACAUACACUCCCAGGUCUUUCUCUGCCUCUGUGGUGGAUAGUGGAGUGUUUCCCAUGUGGUAUUGGUGUGCUGGAUAUCCCUUCACUGGUAGCCUGGUAACAUACACUCCCAGGUCUUUCUCUCCCUCUGUGGUGGAUAGUGGAGUGUUUCCCAUGUGGUAUUGGUGUGCUGGAUAUCCCCUCCCAAGGUUCAGAACUUUACAUUUUUCCUCAUUGCAUUGUAGCAGCCACUUUUUGUUCCACUCCUAUAUCUUUUUGAUGUCUUCUUGUAGGAAAUCCAUAGUGAAGGGGUUAAAAAUAGGCCUUUCUGACAAACUGUUGCAAUUUUUAUAACACUCUUACUUCCCUUAUAAGAUUAUAUUACGUUGUUUGUCUGUCCACAACACAAGUCCUAUAGCAAUACUUCCUCUCCACAACACAAGUCCUACAGCAAUACUUCCUCUCCACAACACAAGUCCUACAGCAAUACUUCCUCUCCACAACACAAGUCCUACAGCAAUACUUCCUCUCCACAACACAAGUCCUACAGCAAUACUUCCUCUCCACAACACAAGUCCUACAGCAAUACUUCCUCUCCACAACACAAGUCCUACAGCAAUA